CCUACGGGAGGCAGCAGUGGGGAAUAUUGCACAAUGGGGGAAACCCUGAUGCAGCAACGCCGCGUGAAGGAAGACGGUUUUCGGAUUGUAAACUUCUGUUCUUAGUGAAGAAUAAUGCCGUUAGCUCAGGAGCACGCCACGGCUAACUCCGUGCCAGCCGCCUCGUUAAGACGUAGGUGGCAAGCUUUGUCCGGAAUUACGGGGUGUAAGGGGAGCGCAGGCGGGAAGCCAAGUCAGCUGUGAAAACUACGGGCUUAACUUGGAGACUGCAGUUGAAACUGGUGUUCUUGAGUGAAGUAGAGGCUGGCGGAAUUCCGAGUGUAGCGGUGAAAUGCUUAGAUAUUCGGAGGAACACCGGUGGCGAAGGCGGCCAACUGGGCUGUAACUGACGCUGAGGCUCGAAAGUGUGGGGAGCAAACAGGAUUAGAUACCCGAGUAGUC
rnacentral:rRNA from 1 species